AUUGAACGCUGGCGGCAUGCUUUACACAUGCAAGUCGAACGGUAACAGGCCGCAAGGUGCUGACGAGUGGCGAACGGGUGAGUAAUGCAUCGGAACGUGCCCAGUCGUGGGGGAUAACGCAGCGAAAGCUGUGCUAAUACCGCAUACGAUCUAUGGAUGAAAGCGGGGGACCGUAAGGCCUCGCGCGACUGGAGCGGCCGAUGUCAGAUUAGGUAGUUGGUGGGGUAAAGGCUCACCAAGCCAACGAUCUGUAGCUGGGCUGAGAGGACGACCAGCCACACUGGGACUGAGACACGGCCCAGACUCCUACGGGAGGCAGCAGUGGGGAAUUUUGGACAAUGGGCGCAAGCCUGAUCCAGCAAUGCCGCGUGCAGGAAGAAGGCCUUCGGGUUGUAAACUGCUUUUGUACGGAACGAAAAGGUUUGGGUUAAUACCCUGGGCCGAUGACGGUACCGUAAGAAUAAGCACCGGCUAACUACGUGCCAGCAGCCGCCGUAA
rnacentral:rRNA from 1 species